rnacentral:rRNA from 1 species
GACGAACGCUGGCGGCAUGCCUAACACAUGCAAGUCGAGCGGAGUUCUUUUUUCAGAGUUCUUCGGAACAAAGAAGACUGAACUUAGUGGCGGACGGGUGAGUAACGCGUGGGUAACCUGCCCUUUUGUGGGGAACAACUUCGAGAAAUCGAAGCUAAUACCGCAUGAGCUUACAGGAUCGCAUGAUCGUGUAAGGAAAGAUGGCCUCUGAAUAUGCUAUCGCAAGAGGAUGGACCCGCGUCUGAUUAGCUGGUUGGUGAGGUAACGGCUCACCAAGGCAACGAUCAGUAGCCGGCCUGAGAGGGUGAACGGCCACAUUGGGACUGAGACACGGCCCAGACUCCUACGGGAGCAGCAGUAGGGAAUCUUCGCAAUGGGCAAAGCCUGACGGAGCAAUGCCGCGUGAGUGAAGAA